GAUGAAGAACGCAGCGAAAUGCGAUAAGUAAUGCGAAUUGCAGAAUUCAGUGAAUCAUCGAAUCUUUGAACGCACAUUGCGCCCGGCAGUACUCUGCCGGGCAUGCCUGUUCGAGCGUCAUUUCAACCCUCAAGCCCUGCUUGGUGUUGGGGUCCCACGGCCGCCGUGGGCCCUGAAAGGAAGUGGCGGGCUCGCUACAACUCCGAGCGUAGUAAUUCAUUAUCUCGCGUAGGGCGUUGGGCGGCGCUCCUGCCGUUAAAGAACCAUCUUUAACUCAAGGUUGACCUCGGAUCAGGUAGGAAUACCCGCUGAACUUAAGCAUAUCAAUAAGCGGAGGA
rnacentral:misc_RNA from 1 species